UACGAAGGGGGCGAGCGUUGUUCGGAUUUACUGGGCGUAAAGGGCGCGUAGGCGGCGCGAGAAGUCGAGUGUGAAAGCCCCGGGCUCAACCUGGGAAUGGCAUUUGGGACUGCAAGGCUUGAGUGUGGCAGAGGAGACUGGAAUUCCUGGUGUAGCGGUGGAAUGCGCAGAUAUCAGGAGGAACACCGAUGGCGAAGGCAGUUCUCUGGGCCGUAACUGACGCUGAGGAGCGAAAGCGUGGGGAGCGAACAGG
rnacentral:rRNA from 1 species